AAUGAACGCUGGCGGCAGGCCUAAAACAUGCAAGUCGAACGCCCUAGCAAUAGGGAGUGGCGCACGGGUGAGUAACAUGUGGGAAUAUGCCUUUUGGUACGGAACAACGUUUGGAAACGAACGCUAAUACCGUAUGGUCCCUCCGGGGUAAAGAUUUAUCGCCAAAAGAUUAGCCCGCACUAGAUUAGCUAGUUGGUAAGGUAAUGGCUUACCAAGGCGACGAUCUAUAGCUGGUCUGAGAGGAUGAGCAGCCACACUGGGACUGAGACACGGCCCAGACUCCUACGGGAGGCAGCAGUGGGGAAUCUUGCGCAAUGGGCGAAAGCCUGACGCAGCCAUGCCGCGUGAAUGAUGAAGGUCUUAGGAUUGUAAAAUUCUUUUACCAGGGACGAUAAUGACGGUACCUGGAGAAAAAGCCCCGGCUAACUUCGUGCCAGCCGCCGCAGUAAGAC
rnacentral:rRNA from 1 species